AAGUCGUAACAAGGUCUCCGUAGGUGAACCUGCGGAGGGAUCAUUACCAAAGAUGGCGGGCCUCCGGGCCCCGCUCCCCAACCCUUUGUUGACCAAAACCCUUUUGCCCCGGGGGCAGAGCGUCCGCCGCCGCCCCCCGGACGGACCGACCGCAACAGCUGUCUCUUUACGUCGGAGUAUUGAUUAAAAAAAUGAAAA
rnacentral:misc_RNA from 1 species